AAUCUAUAUAUGUCUGAUUAAAAUAAUUUAUUCAAAGUUCGUGAACAACUGUCUAUUAUAUUUGAAUAAUUAAUAUAUGAAAAUUAGACGGGAUCAAUUCGCAUCUGAUACCUGUUAUAUACGAGGACAAUGUCCAUAAUUGCUCGGGUCGUGUAUUACGCACGAGGCUCCUCGAGACUGAUCUAUGACGUACGUUUGUAAUGGAUAGUUAUCUCUGAUUGCGGCUAUUUAUAAAUAAGCCCCGCCCCUUUAUGUGUUCGCUAGCCGAAUCCGUGGGUGUUGAAACGUAAACAUUGAUUCCACAUGGUUCCACGGAUGUAUACCAACCCCAUGUAUACUAAAGAGAAAACCUUCGUAGUAGAUUGAUGAAUGGAGUGUGUGAAUGGAUUUCAUAGUAGUAACCUUUGCCCUUCCGAGUCCACAAUUGCCUUAUAUGGAGUAGAAGGACAAAUUCCGCGUGCUGACGUCAGAAUCGUUAUAGGAAGCUAGUUUGCCUUAUAUGGAAUUACGAUCGUGUAUCUCCGGUAAUUGUCGUGUUGAAGAAAACGGAAACACGUUUGCCAUAUUAGGAAUUUUUCGUGUUGGCGGAGUUUUACGAAGUUUCUAGUGGCUGUCCGGAGUUAAAUUAGAAUCAUGACGUACAUUGCCGUUCGAGCUGUUUAGAUUUGGAGCUAUUUCGGGCGAUAGCCGAGUAAAUGUAGCUGAGCGCAGACACAAAAGGAAUCAAUUUAACAAUGAGAAGUUCGUAUAUGUAUCGAAGUGGCCAAAUUUAUAUCAGAAUGACCCAUACAUAGAACGCUGGUAUUGAUCUUUGGAUAGGAGCUUUGGUGCAGAGGCCUCAGGCGGGGUUUACAGUAACGAGAUUUAACGUUCGGUAUCGUGUAUAUCACGGACUUACAUCUAAUUUAAGCCCGCGUGCAUAGUAAUGGAAAAUAUUUAUUUGAUUUCUUGGUUUUAUGAUGAUAUAUACUCGGAAUAUCACGACUCACAUAUUUCAUACUUAAAGUAUAAAAUUGUUAGAAAAAGUGGCAUGUAACAAACUUAAUAAAAAUCACAAUUUUCAUAUGAUAUGUUAUGUGUUGUGUCACAUUCAUUUUAAAACAUAUUAAGAUUUUUUAAGUCAAAAAAUAUAAUCUUUGAAUUUCUAAAUAAGGGAAUAAAUUAAAUGUAUUCGUUUAUCUCUCUUUUUUUCUCUCUUUCUCUCUCUCUUUCUCUCUCUUUACAGAUACAGAUUUCAUUAAUUUGGAUUAAGAUUCCCCCGGAAUCGCCCGAGCUCUUGCUUUGAGCACGACCAGAAAGGGGACAUGGAUCUUCUUUGUAAAGCCCCCAAACAUUCUGUAGAUAAGCAGGAUGUGGCUCUCUACCUCUACAGUGGAAACUGGCGGAUACGUUAAACCUGUGAUUCCAUUAGAGGAUCGUCAUUGAUACAAAUGUAAAUAAUUGCAUAGAGGGUGAACAACACUUUUUAAUUGAAUGUAAUGUAUAUUUAAGGAUUGAAUAAUGUUAUGUCAAUAGGUCUUGAGACAAAUUUAUUAUGAACUGCGAAGCAGUUCAUAAUAAAUUUGUC